CCCGCCGGCGACCGGCACACGGGUGAGUAACACGUAUGCAACCUGGCCGUGACAGAUGGAUAACCGGGAGAAAUCCCGCCUAAUACAACAUAAUGCCGGGAGGGGACAUCCCCUGCCGGUCAAAGGGGGCGACCCCGGUCAUGGAUGGGCAUGCGGCGCAUUAGGUAGUUGGUGGGGCAACGGCCCACCAAGCCGACGAUGCGUAGGGGUUCUGAGAGGAAGGUCCCCCACAUUGGAACUGAGACACGGUCCAAACUCCUACGGAAGGCAGCAG
rnacentral:rRNA from 1 species